rnacentral:tRNA from 1 species
GCUAGCGUAGCUUAAAUAAAGCAUAACACUGAA